GCGGACGGGUGAGUAACACGUGGGUAACCUGCCUGUAAGACUGGGAUAACUCCGGGAAACCGGAGCUAAUACCGGAUAGUUCCUUGAACCGCAUGGUUCAAGGAUGAAAGACGGUUUCGGCUGUCACUUACAGAUGGACCCGCGGCGCAUUAGCUAGUUGGUGAGGUAACGGCUCACCAAGGCGACGAUGCGUAGCCGACCUGAGAGGGUGAUCGGCCACACUGGGACUGAGACACGGCCCAGACUCCUACGGGAGGCAGCAGUAGGGAAUCUUCCGCAAUGGACGAAAGUCUGACGGAGCAACGCCGCGUGAGUGAUGAAGGUUUUCGGAUCGUAAAGCUCUGUUGUUAGGGAAGAACAAGUGCAAGAGUAACUGCUUGCACCUUGACGGUACCUAACCAGAAAGCCACGGCUAACUACGUGCCAGCAGCCGCGGUAAUACGUAGGUGGCAAGCGUUGUCCGGAAUUAUUGGGCGUAAAGGGCUCGCAGGCGGUUUCUUAAGUCUGAUGUGAAAGCCCCCGGCUCAACCGGGGAGGGUCAUUGGAAACUGGGAAACUUGAGUGCAGAAGAGGGAGAGUGGAAUUCCACGUGUAGCGGUGAAAAUGCG
rnacentral:rRNA from 1 species